rnacentral:rRNA from 1 species
GAGUUUGAUCGUGGCUCAGAACGAACGCUGGCGGCAUGCCUAACACAUGCAAGUCGAACGAGACCUUCGGGUCUAGUGGCGCACGGGUGCGUAACGCGUGGGAAUCUACCCUUGGGUUCGGAAUAACAGUUAGAAAUGACUGCUAAUACCGGAUGAUGACGUAAGUCCAAAGAUUUAUCGCCCAAGGAUGAGCCCGCGUAGGAUUAGCUAGUUGGUGAGGUAAAGGCUCACCAAGGCGACGAUCCUUAGCUGGUCUGAGAGGAUGAUCAGCCACACUGGGACUGAGACACGGCCCAGACUCCUACGGGAGGCAGCAGUGGGGAAUAUUGGACAAUGGGCGAAAGCCUGAUCCAGCAAUGCCGCGUGAGUGAUGAAGGCCUUAGGGUUGUAAAGCUCUUUUACCCGGGAUGAUAAUGACAGUACCGGGAGAAUAAGCUCCGGCUAACUCCGUGCCAGCAG